rnacentral:lncRNA from 10 species
GUUGCAUUACACGAAGACCUUCCUAUCCUUAUGGUAUAAUUCAGGCAAAAUAUAUGGCUUAUUAUUUUCUAAGGCUCUUUCUCUUCUUAGUGUGGUCAGAUUCCCAGGGAAGGUUCUUCCACAUGCUAAAGGGUGUAUGCUCAGUUGCCAGGAUUCUGAGAACUAGUGGGAGGCAGGAAGUAGCAGGUCUCAAAAUUCAGCAGGCAAUCAUUCUUUCACCUGGUUUCAGUGUGGUACCUAUUCCCUCAAUGUGCUGGUAUCCUCCAAUCUAGACCCUGUUUUGCCUUCUGUAGAAAAUCAACUUCUCAUUUUUCAUUAAGGCAGGCAGAAUUUGGGGAGUUAUGUGGUAUAAAUCAGGUUGCAUCUCAGAUUUCC